rnacentral:rRNA from 1 species
AUUGAACGCUAGCGGGAUGCUUUACACAUGCAAGUCGAACGGCAGCGCGGACUUCGGUCUGGCGGCGAGUGGCGAACGGGUGAGUAAUGUAUCGGAACGUGCCCAGUAGCGGGGGAUAACUACGCGAAAGCGUAGCUAAUACCGCAUACGCCCUACGGGGGAAAGCAGGGGAUCGUAAGACCUUGCACUAUUGGAGCGGCCGAUAUCGGAUUAGCUAGUUGGUGAGGUAACGGCUCACCAAGGCGACGAUCCGUAGCCGGUUUGAGAGGACGACCAGCCACACUGGGACUGAGACACGGCCCAGACUCCUACGGGAGGCAGCAGUGGGGAAUUUUGGACAAUGGGGGCAACCCUGAUCCAGCCAUCCCGCGUGUGCGAUGAAGGCCUUCGGGUUGUAAAGCACUUUUGGCAGGAAAGAAACGUCGCGGGCUAAUACCCCGUGGAACUGACGGUACCUGCAGAAUAAGCACCGGCUAACUACGU